ensembl:snoRNA SNORD97 small nucleolar RNA, C/D box 97
GUGCCCAGUGAUUAUAAAAAGACGCGUUAUUCUGAGGAAUUCCCCCUGCUGUCUGUUCUCUGGCUUUCUCUCUUCCACUAGUCUCCCCUUCUGCUAAGUCUGUCUCCUCCCUUCUUCUGUCUCUCCAUCUGCGACAGCCAGCAGGUCCGCUGAUUGCGAUUAUGAGAUAUGAGGGCAC